ACUGCGGAACGAUGUAUACCUGGAUCGCGUUUCAGCGCGACUUUAGGCGUGCCCCAACCACCCGACGCUACAUUAAAUGUGAAUGAAGGAUUCCAGGUACGCGUGAGAUCGAGACGACUACCGCGGGAUAAAGAGGAAAGAAGAAAAAAAUAGAAAAACACCUGAGAGACAAACAGUGCAUAAAAGAUCGUCAAGUGUUUCUGGAUGUACGAGACAACUCCAGCUCAACGACGCCAUUUUCCGUUGAAUGUUUAAUAUGUGAACGUACUGCCCUCGCGUGUCAUGAAUUCUCCUUUAAAACACGCGGUUACGUUUAAUACGUACGAGGUUCGACAUCGGCUACCCGAUCCGCGACAAAAAGGGGGACACCUUUUAAAUGAAGAAACGUACCCUGGCAAAGUGGUUUUCUUUCACGAUUAGCGCCAGUGUCGCGGCACUUCCGUUGUGUCUCCGCCUCGCGCCGCAUCCUAUCGCCUUUUACUUCUUCCCCUCUUUAAUAUUCAGCCACCGUUCUCGUAACCAACGUUAUGCCGCGCCACCGCCAGCCGACCGCACAUACCUGUGUGCCGAUGCGCGUCUCACUGUUAGAGGCACAUGUUGUACGUAUACGAGCUUGCAUUCUCCACGAGACAAUGGGUGUGCCUACCUCACGUGACGGGCACGUGAGCACCCUCGAAAAAGGCCCUUGGUUCCUCGCGUUCAUUCAUACCGGUUCGCCUGUUUCGUGGCCGACGCCUAUGACCCUACACGCCGCGUCGAAAAGUCAAGAAGAAUCGUGUACGGACAAUUGCAGAAUAUAAAUGAUACGUCGUUGUAACAAUGCCCUAUGCGAGACAGCGUCAACCGGUCGCUAACAAGAGCAUACUUCAACGGGACAGUAGCGUAGGAGCAAAUCUAAUGAACUUGUAAAUGAAAUAAGGCACGAUGACUGAAGUGUAUUUGAAUACAGAGAGAGAAGAAACCGGAGAAGCAAGUGAUGCCUGUAUAUCUCUCACCAUCGCAUCGGAGGGGCUGCCAUCAAUCCCUAUUUCCUACUCCCUUUUACGUGUUACAAUCGAAAUCGAAGCGUGGUCAGUGUUUCCAGCGAAUGUUUCGAAUGCAUUUUCUACACUUUCUUAGCUAACUAGCCGUUUUUCUUCGAGAAAGUUGUGCAAACUCAUCUACGAAGAUGGUAAUCUUUGGAGGAGAGAUUUAACGAGAGAACGAUGGAUCCUCGCCUCGGAGCUCGGAUUGUCACCAGUGAAAGACACAGAAGCAUUUCAACGAGAACAGUAG